GGUGCCCGUACCGCAAACCGACACAGGUAGUCGAGCAGAGUAUGCUAAGGCGCUCGGAAGAACUCUCGUUAAGGAACUCGGCAAAAUGACCUCGUAACUUCGGGAGAAGAGGUGCCUCGGUAGGGUGAAUAGCCCGAGGGGGCCGCAGUGAAAAGGCCCAAGCGACUGUUUAGCAAAAACACAGGUCUGUGCGAAGCCGUAAGGCGAAGUAUACGGGCUGACGCCUGCCCGGUGCUGGAAGGUUAAGAGGAGUGGUUAGCCGCAAGGCGAAGCUAUGAAUUGAAGCCCCAGUAAACGGCGGCCGUAACUAUAACGGUCCUAAGGUAGCGAAAUUCCUUGUCAGGUAAAUUCUGACCCGCACGAAUGGCGUAACGACUUGGGCGCUGUCUCAACGAGAGAUCCGGUGAAAUUUUAAUACCUGUGAAGAUGCAGGUUACCCGCGACAAGACGGAAAGACCCCAUGGAGCUUUACUGCAGCUUGAUAUUGAACUUUGGUACGAUCUGUACAGGAUAGGUGGGAGCCUAAGAAACCGGAGCGCCAGCUUCGGUGGAGGCAACGUUGGGAUACCACCCUGAUCGUAUCGGAGUUCUAACCUGGUACCGUAAUCCGGUACAGGGACCGUGUCAGGUGGGCAGUUUGACUGGGGCGGUCGCCUCCUAAAAUGUAACGGAGGCGCCCAAAGGUUCCCUCAGAAUGGUUGGAAAUCAUUCGUAGCGUGUAAAGGCAUAAGGGAGCUUGACUGCGAGACCUACAAGUCGAGCAGGGACGAAAGUCGGGCUUAGUGAUCCGGUGGUACCGAAUGGAAGGGCCAUCGCUCAACGGAUAAAAGCUACCCUGGGGAUAACAGGCUUAUCUCCCCCAAGAGUCCACAUCGACGGGGAGGUUUGGCACCUCGAUGUCGGCUCAUCGCAUCCUGGGGCUGAAGUAGGUCCCAAGGGUUGGGCUGUUCGCCCAUUAAAGCGGUACGCGAGCUGGGUUCAGAACGUCGUGAGACAGUUCGGUCCCUAUCUGUCGUGGGCGUAGGAAAUUUGAGAAGAGCUGUCCUUAGUACGAGAGGACCGGGAUGGACGCACCGCUGGUGUACCAGUUGUUCCGCCAGGAGCACCGCUGGGUAGCCAAGUGCGGACGGGAUAAGCGCUGAAAGCAUCUAAGCGUGAAGCCCCCUUCAAGAUGAGAUUUCCCAGUAUGUAAGACCCCUGGAAGACGACCAGGUUGAUAGGUUCGAGGUGGAAGUGCAGCAAUGCAUGCAGCUGACGAAUACUAAUCGGUCGAGGGCUUAUCCUA
rnacentral:rRNA from 1 species